AACGGCCGCAGUACCCUAACCGCGCGAAGGUAGCAUAAUCACUUGUUCUUUAAAUGGGGACUUGUAUCAACGGCAUCACGAGGGUUCCACUGUCUCCUUUUUCUAAUCAGUGAAACUAAUCUCCCCGUGAAGAAGCGGGGAUAAACCUAUAAGACGAGAAGACCCCAUGGAGCUUUAAACCUAGCUACACCCCCGACUACUAUAUCAUUUAAAAAAUCGGAGGCCUGUUACGCUCAGUUUUAGGUUGGGGUGACCACGGAGUAUAAUAAAACCUCCAUGAUGAAUGAAACUAUUAUCUUAUCUAAGAACCACACUUCCAAGAAUUAGCACACUAACAUUAAAUGAUCCGCUAAACGAUCAACGAACCAAGUUACCCUGGGGAUAACAGCGCAAUCCACUUCGAGAGCCCCUAUCGACAAGUGGGUUUACGACCUCGAUGUUGGAUCAGGAUAUCCCAGUGGUGCAGUAGCUACUAAAGGUUAGUUUGUUCAACAAUUAAAAUCCU
rnacentral:rRNA from 1 species